AUUGAACGCUGGCGGCAUGCUUUACACAUGCAAGUCGAACGGCAGCGCGGGCUUCGGCCUGGCGGCGAGUGGCGAACGGGUGAGUAAUACAUCGGAACGUGCCCAGUAGUGGGGGAUAGCUCGGCGAAAGCCGGAUUAAUACCGCAUACAACCUGAGGGUGAAAGCGGGGGAUCUUCGGACCUCGCGCUAUUGGAGCGGCCGAUGGCAGAUUAGCUAGUUGGUGGGGUAAAGGCCUACCAAGGCGACGAUCUGUAGCUGGUCUGAGAGGACGACCAGCCACACUGGGACUGAGACACGGCCCAGACUCCUACGGGAGGCAGCAGUGGGGAAUUUUGGACAAUGGGCGAAAGCCUGAUCCAGCAAUGCCGCGUGUGUGAUGAAGGCCUUCGGGUUGUAAAGCACUUUUGGCGGGAACGAAAGGGACUGUGCAAAUACCACGGUUCGAUGACGGUACCCGCAGAAUAAGCACCGGCUAACUACGUG
rnacentral:rRNA from 1 species